AAAAAAGAAAAAAGAAAAAAAGAAAAUCAAUGAAAAGCCUUUAGCACUCACUAUCUCUCUCUGCCACACCAUCUCUCCAUCUUUAUGUGCUUUCAUCAUCUCUGGACACCCCUUCUUCUUCUAGGGCUUCAUCUUCGAAGAAGAAGAACGGCCAGUUCUUCGUUGAGUACUAGAGCUUGUUAGACGAUGAUGGCUCUACCCUCUUGAGAGAACACAUCAAACCCGACUUCAUUAGGCCUUUGCCUCCUCCUUUAGAGUCUGACCUUGUUCUUUCCUUCGAAAUAUACGAUGUUGUCGAUGCGUCUUAAUGUGAUGGAUGGUGGAUUGGUGUCAUCACCAUAGUUCUCAACAAUUCCAAGUUCGUAGUCACCUUGUAGAACCGUCCCGACGAGAUCGAGUUUGGGUUUUCGGAGUUGCAAGUUCACUAGGAGUGGAUCGACGACAAAUGGGUCUGACCCGAAAAGUAGGUUGCUGCAUAUUCAAAUGGCCAUGUGAAAGUGAAUGAGUUCCUAGAUCCACUCGAACUAAAUACUUGAGGUUCACUACUUCUGGCCUCUAGAUAGCAUUAGAAUAAAAGAGUUUGAUAAUGUGUGGAAUGAGGUUACAAGACAAUCUAGAGGAAGGCUCACCUUUGAUACUAUUCAUGUCAUGUUUGGGAGAUUCAUGGCAUUGUAUCAUGUCAUUUCCAUGGGUAAAUGCACCCAAAAUUUGCCACAUGGAGUAUGAGGAGACAAGUGGAGAACCUAAACAAGCUGUCCCUGGAGAAAGUGAACAACAAGAAGUUGAAGAAGCUGAAGAUAAAGAAACACUGGUAGAUACACAACAGAAGCCUGAGCCUGAGCCUAAGGAGGAGGAAGUUCCACCAUUGAUAUCAACUAACCAAACUGAGGAUCUGUUGCUAAAAAAAUGGACUUAUCCCAGCCAAACAAAGCCAAUUCUAUUGGAAUAGCUAUGGGAAUUGCUAGGACGGAGGUUGCUAAGGAAGCUUCUGAUAUGGUGUUGGCUGAUGAUAAUUUCAGUACGAUAGUUGCUGUAAUAAGUGAAAGGAGGUCUAUCUACAACAACAUGAAGGCUUUCAUCAGGUGCUUUCCCAUCUUCCCCUCUAAGCAGUAAAUGAUCGAAGCAUAUAAAGAGAAAAGCAGAGCAAGAUUUUGAAUAGGUUGAUUCAAGAAUGAAUACCAAAAGCAAAAUUAUAUAUUUUUUUUAAAUCUGUUGAUUCUGUAUGAAUAUGAGGGUUAAAGGCAUCAACAGUUGGCUGAUUCAUACUGAAUACCCAAAAGUUAAAAGAAAAAGAAACACUAAAUUUUGAUCACCAAAAAAGUAUUUUCACCAUUACAAUACUUGGUUUAUAUAGAAGAAACCAAUCCUAAAAUCAAUCACUGCAUUAAAAUAGUUGAUAAAAAAUGUUUCCUAUGGAAAAAUCUACAAUGAUAGCAUUAAUCCAUCUCAACCAUAAAACUAUGCCUUGAAUCAUUUAUAAACAUUUGCAGCUUUUUACACAUCAAGAAAAGGGUAAUUCAUAAUCCGUCUUGUAGCAGAAAUGAACUUUCAAUUGGGCUCAUGUUGUGAAUGGUUUUCACCUUAUUGCAAGUACAUGAUCUCCUCAAAUAUAGGUGAGGUUGCCUCAAUAUUUUUAACAACGGCAUUAGGGGUCCCAGAAGGCCUAAUCCCGUCCAACCCUUGUGGGUCAACCUUUUCACAGAUCGACCUCCUGCGACAACCCUUGGAUUCAAUCCACCAGAUAGGGACAUCAUGAAGAAACCCCCUCGUCAAAGUGAUGACAUGCUCAUCAAUCCUCGGACUUAUUCCGCUAUCUGGUAAAAAGUUUGGAAAAACUGAUUUCACAUUGCAAAAACUGAUUUCCAUGAGAUUGAAGUAUAAUAAUCUGUAUAAUUAACAAAUGGAUUAUUGGGCUAUAUGUUGGAAUGGCAACUGUUGGUGUAUUCAUCAUUUGGUACACACAUGGCUCAUUCUUAGGUAUUGACCUUAGUGGUGAUGGGCACACAUUGGUCACAUUCUCUCAGCUUGCAAAUUGGGGCCAAUGCUCAUCUUGGGGAAAUUUCACAGUUUCACCAUUCAUAGCUGGCAAUCAUUUAUCUUUAAAUGAUUUGGUUUUCAGAGUAGUUCAAUAUUGUUGUGUUUCGACUAAAGUUCACUUUAUUACUCAGUUGUCACUGCUACUGAGAGGGACAGUUGUUGCACCCCUAGAUAAAUUGGGUAAAUCAUCAUGAUGUUGCUUUUCUAUGGAUAGUCUUAGCAUAUGGUAGAAACUAUUUUGUGGUGGUUUCACAUUUUUUUUUUUUUUGGGUAUAGAUUUCUCGCCAAAAAAUAUUCAUUUAUGUUAUAAAUAUGUAUUGUUUUUAGGAUUUAUUUUCCCGAUUUUAUCUAGGUUGCCUUGUUAGAAUAUUAUUAGCUUUGGUAUCUUAUGGUUGCAGGGGAAGCACUACAGGAUGAGAGGAUUAAUGGAGGGGCAUUCAUAGGCACUGAUGGUCUUCAAUUUCCACACAAGCUAAUACCUGGUUAGUUGCUUCAACUAUUGCUGCGGGUUUAAGUGCCUUAACACAUUGGGCACCCUCGUCCCUAUGAUAGAAGCAAGUGGAUUUGCUACAGCUGCUGCUGCAACUAUUAUAGGAAGUGUUGUCGAUAGUUUUGAAUAAUCUAUUAGUAAUUGUCGAUAUGUUUAGAAAGUUAGAUAUGCAUAGUUUUUGACGGUUUAAACUUUUUGUACAGUUUAGAACUUAAAGAUAUAGUUUUUGAAUGUUUGGAAUGUAUAGACAAUUGUUGAAUGUUUAUGAUUU